UUUAGUAAUUGCGAAUGAACAAGGAUAUGCUUAGCUUGACAAAUGGAGCUAUUGGCUUUGAAUUGUAUUGUGGAAAUGUAUUACCAACAGAGGUGCAGGUGCCAGCCUAUUGAAAUAAAGCGUCAAUGAGGGUGAGAAUCCUGUUUGUCAUGUGCAGCCCUUUGUGCACGGUGUAUAUUUGCUGAGUCACACUCCUUGGCAUUGGAAUGCAAAGUGGGUGGUAAGUUUCAUGUAAAGGUAAACAUGCAAUUGAGACUGAUAGCACACAAGUACCAUGAGGGAAAUAUGAAAAGGACUUUGAAAAGAGAAUUAAAUGAGUUUGUAUUUGCUGAACACAAAGUAAACAGACUUGAUUUGCUUGGUGGGAGUGUUGCACUUGCUUGACAAGAGCUUUGGGCUGUGGGUGUAAUGAUUCUUUCUUUGCAUGCCAGUUUCUAUUUGUACAUCUGAUUACCUUUGCACAUGAAUGAUAAGUCUCCUGUGGGGGGUGGAUUGCAUGUGCAUGUAAUGAUUUGUGUUUUGAUAAAUGUGUCUGGUGUAUGUGUGUGUUCCUGUGCUUGGGGAUGCUUCCUUCCUUGGACUUACAAGCCCUGACACACACAUGCUGGCAAAAUGCUUCUGCUUGACCCGUCUUGAAACACGGACCAAGGAGUCUAACAGAUGUGCAAAGUUUGAAGGUGGUAUACCUUUGUGUGCAAUGAAAGUGUCAGCUGGGAUAUGUGCACCAGCACCCAAUUAAUUAGCGGACAGAGGUUUGAGUUGGAGCAUAUCUAUUAGGACCCGAAAGAUGGUGAACUAUGCCUGAACAGAAUGAAUUCAGAGGAAACUCUGAUGGAGGUUCGUAUCGAUACUGACGUGCAAAUCGUUCGUCAUAUUUGGGUAUAGGGGCGAAAGACUAAUCGAACCAUCUAGUAGCUGGUUCCCUCCGAAGUUUCCCUCAGGAUAGCUGGAGUUGCUCAGUUUUAUCAGGUAAAGCGAAUGAUUAGAGGAAUUGGGGACAGGUUUGUCUUUGACCUAUUCUCAAACUUUAAAUGGGUAAUAUGUAGUGGUUGCUGUAUGGAACUUCUA
rnacentral:rRNA from 1 species